rnacentral:rRNA from 1 species
GCACUAAAUGAAACUAGAUACAAGCGAGCGGCGGACGGGUGAGUAACACGUGGGUAACCUGCCCAAGAGACUGGGAUAACACCUGGAAACAGAUGCUAAUACCGGAUAACAACACUAGACGCAUGUCUAGAGUUUGAAAGAUGGUUCUGCUAUCACUCUUGGAUGGACCUGCGGUGCAUUAGCUAGUUGGUAAGGUAACGGCUUACCAAGGCAAUGAUGCAUAGCCGAGUUGAGAGACUGAUCGGCCACAUUGGGACUGAGACACGGCCCAAACUCCUACGGGAGGCAGCAGUAGGGAAUCUUCCACAAUGGACGAAAGUCUGAUGGAGCAACGCCGCGUGAGUGAAGAAGGGUUUCGGCUCGUAAAGCUCUGUUGGUAGUGAAGAAAGAUAGAGGUAGUAACUGGCCUUUAUUUGACGGUAAUUACUUAGAAAGUCACGGCUAACUACGUGCCAGCAGCCGCGGUAAUACGUAGGUGGCAAGCGUUGUCCGGAUUUAUUGGGCGUAAAGCGAGUGCAGGCGGUUCAAUAAGUCUGAUGUGAAAGCCUUCGGCUCAACCGGAGAAUUGCAUCAGAAACUGUUGAACUUGAGUGCAGAAGAGGAGAGUGGAACUCCAUGUGUAGCGGUGGAAUGCGUAGAUAUAUGGAAGAACACCAGUGGCGAAGGCGGCUCUCUGGUCUGCAACUGACGCUGAGGCUCGAAAGCAUGGGUAGCGAACAGGAUUAGAUACCCUGGUAGUCCAUGCCGUAAACGAUGAGUGCUAAGUGUUGGGAGGUUUCCGCCUCUCAGUGCUGCAGCUAACGCAUUAAGCACUCCGCCUGGGGAGUACGACCGCAAGGUUGAAACUCAAA